ensembl:snRNA U6 U6 spliceosomal RNA
GUGUUCCUUUUGGCAGCAUAUAGACUAAAACUGGAAGAGUGCAGAGAUUAGCAUGAUCCCUGUGCAAGGAUGAAAUACAAAUUUCAAAAAUGUUCCAUAUUUUU